GACGGAAGGUGCAAGCGUUGCUCGGAAUCACUGGGCGUAAAGGGUGCGUAGGCGGCCGUGCAAGUCUGGCGUGAAAGCCCCGGGCUCAGCCCGGGAAGUGCGCUCGAAACUGCGCGGCUCGAGUGCCGGAGGGGAGAGUGGAAUUCCUGGUGUAGCGGUGAAAUUCGUAGAUAUUCGGAAGAACACCAGUGGCGAAGGCGACUUACUGGACACAUAUUGACGCUGAGGUGCGAAAGCGUGGGGAGCAAACAGG
rnacentral:rRNA from 1 species